GAGCUCGGCAGGUUCCUCGGAAACGGAGACUGGAACUAGCGCAGCUGCUCACAUCACUGCCUGACGGACAUUUACUGCACAUCAUGGCAGUCCUUAUGAAAAUCUUCUUCAUUUCUCUGGUGCUAUCAAUUGUUGCUACAGCUGAACUAAAAAAGUGUGGGGACCCGUGCAUCAGCCACCAGUGCGGGCCGGGACAGCGCUGCGUGGCGCGACAGGUGCAGUGCGUCAGGGCGCCGUGCUGCAGCCUACCGCAUUGCACCGACGCAGACAGCAGUGAAGGCUGACGCUGGCCGCGUAUCGCCUACGCACACCUGCACGCAAUAAACAACCAUCUUGCAAA